GAUGAACGCUGGCGGCGUGCCUAAUACAUGCAAGUCGAGCGAACAGACGAGGAGCUUGUUCCCUUGCCGUUAGCGGCGGACGGGUGAGUAACACGUGGAUAACCUACUUCUUUUACUGGGAUAACUUCGGGAAACCGGUGCUAAUACCGGAUAAUAUAUCGAACCGCAUGGUUCAAUAGUGAAAGACGGUUUUGCUGUCACUUAUAGCUGGAUCCGCGUCGCAUUAGCUAGUUGGUAAGGUAACGGCUUACCAAGGCAACGAUGCGUAGCCGACCUGAGAGGAUGAUCGGCCACACUGGAACUGAGACACGGUCCAGACUCCUACGGGAGGCAGCAGUAGGGAAUCUUCCGCAAUGGGCGAAAGCCUGACGGAGCAACGCCGCGUGAGUGAUGAAGGUCUUCGGAUCGUAAAACUCUGUUAUUAGGAAAGAACAAAUGUGUAAGUAACUAUGCACGUCUUGACGGUACCUAAUCAGAAAGCCACGGCUAACUACGUG
rnacentral:rRNA from 1 species